GGAGAGGUGCCCGAGCGGUUUAAGGGGCACGCCUGGAAAGCGUGUGUACGGGUCCCCGUACCCAGGGUUCAAAUCCCUGCCUCUCCGCCA
rnacentral:tRNA from 1 species